rnacentral:misc_RNA from 1 species
AUACUUUGGGGACACAGUCGAACUUCCAACGGAGUUAAAAGUAGGAAAAGUGGGGGUCCAUAUAAAACUCAGGUUGAAAUAGAAUACUGGGCACACACUGAUCUCCAUCAAGACACAACAUCAACUAUAGACCACACCAAUAUGCAGCAGAUAUAUCUGAACGCAUCUAGGGCAUUCUACAGUCGGCUCUCUAUAUAGCAAACCAAGUUCAUCAAUCACAAAUGGCGUUACAUUUGUCAAGUUGCCGCUCGUCAAAUUCGAAUGCUCAUUGGGAGGAGUUGCAGAUGUGGCCGCCGGAACUGUGGAGCUGGAACCGGUGGUGAUGCUGGCUGCAGUGGUGGUCGCCGGCGGAGCACCCAUUGUAUGGUAGCCACGAUGAUAGCUGGAACGGGUAUUGUGCCCCAGGGCACCUAGAAAUCCGGGCGCCGUUAUGGAGCCGGCAAUAACCUGGCAUUUUGGCAAUUUUCAAGAACAUUUAACGGGCGAUUUAUGCG